UAGGGAAUCUUCCACAAUGGACGCAAGUCUGAUGGAGCAACGCCGCGUGAGUGAAGAAGGUUUCGGCUCGUAAAGCUCUGUUGUUAAAGAAGAACGUGGGUAAGAGUAACUGUUUACCCAGUGACGGUAUUUAACCCGAAAGCCACGGCUAACUACGUGCCAG
rnacentral:rRNA from 1 species